AAAGUCCUCCAACACA
rnacentral:tRNA from 1 species